rnacentral:rRNA from 1 species
GAUGAACGCUGGCGGCGUGCCUAAUACAUGCAAGUCGAACGGACGGACGAUAAGCUUGCUUCCUUGAUGUUAGCGGGUGACGGGCGAGUGAGACGUGGAUAAGCAUCUUAUAUGACUGGGAUCAUUUCGGAAAACCGGAGAUGCUAAUGGAUAAUAUUUUGAACGGCAUGAUUCAAAAGUGAUUGACGGUCUUGCUGUAUCUUAUAGCUGGAUUCGCGUUGGAUUAGUUAGUUGGUAAGGUAACGGCUUACCAAGGCAACGAUCCAUAGCCGACCGGAGAGGGUGAUCGGCCAAACUGGAACUGAGACACGGUCCAGACUCCUACGGGAGGCGGCAGUGGGGAAUCUUGGGCAAUGGGCGAAAGCCUGACGCAGCAACACCGCGUGGGUGAGGAAGGUCUUCGGGUCGUAAAGCCCUUUUGUUGGGAAAGAACAGAUGUAGAAUUAAACGUGCACAUUCUGACGGUACCUAAACAGAAAGCCACGGCUAACUACGUG